UACGAAGGGUGCAAGCGUUGUUCGGAAUUACUGGGCGUAAAGGGCGCGUAGGCGGCCACCGCAAGUCGACUGUGAAAUCUCCGGGCUUAACCCGGAAAGGUCAGCCGAUACUGCGGGGCUAGAGUGCGGUAGAGGGUGGUGGAAUUCCCGGUGUAGCAGUGAAAUGCGUAGAGAUCGGGAGGAACAUCAGUUGCGAAGGCGGCCACCUGGACCAGCACUGACACUGAGGCACGAAAGCGUGGGGAGCAAACAGG
rnacentral:rRNA from 1 species